rnacentral:piRNA from 1 species
UGUCAUACAACUAGCGCCAGUCGCAAUC